rnacentral:lncRNA from 1 species
GGGUUGCGGGCUGUGGCCCCGGGGGCUGAGGGCGGCGCGGGUGCGGCGGAAGCAGGGAAGCCGCGAACCGGCCUUCUGGCUGGCCACAGCGCCCUGCACGGACGAUCAGUGAAUGGAGAUUACUCAAGUAUUUAUCGAGAACUUGCAGUGGGCUAGGCACAGUUCAGGUCCACAGUUAUUUCACUUCUAAAUAAAUAUGGUUUUUUAAAAGUGGCACGCGGUGGAAUGUAAUUGAGACAGGAUGGAGUUCCUAGAGAAAUUUUACUUCCUCAAUCUGCACUCCACCUUACUUAAAAUACAGUCUUGGGUCUGUAAUUCCCUUAUCUGACUCUCAAGGAAAUGACAAAGUAAUGCCUAGAUUGGACUAAACCUCAUUUAACUUCAAGGCUGACCUUUCUCAAAGUUGAACCUUCGUCUUGUGAGGAACAGAAAGAUCAAGAACUCUGAAGCACCUCGACUUUCCACCUGUGAAGAUGUGUUCAAAUUUGCAACGUGCGGCCACACCUAUGAGGUCACUCCCUCUGGAGGAAACCAGCUGCCACUUUGUGAGGAUACUCAUAGUCCUGUGGAGGCAUAUCCUCCAUAUGGCUGAGACCUCCUGCGAACAACCAUCACUGACUUGCCAGACAUGAGUGUGCCACCUUGGAAGCAGAUUUUCCAGCCCCAGUUAAGCCUUCAGAUGACAUCAGCCCCUGCUAAUCUCUUGACUACAACCUCAUGAGAGACCCUGAGCCAGAACUAGCCAGGACCAGCUUGAAGUGUUUCAGGACACUUCUCUCUGUGUGUGCCUCUUGAUUUUGUUCAGAAGCCCAGUACUAUGGAAUACUCUAUCGCAGUGAUAAUUAACUACUCGAUAUGCAAAACACAGACAAAUCUCACAAACAUAAUGUGGAGCAAAAGAAGCCAGAAACAGAAGAGUACUGUGAAAUCCCAUUUAUGUCAAGCUCAAAACCAGGUACUGGACCUCCAUAGGUGUCCCAGAGGCUCCCAUGGAAGGAUUUGCAAAUCAGGUUCCAAGAGCUUAAAAAGCCAGGCUUAGUAGUGGAGAGGCACCAGAUGAACUCUUGAUAGCCCAGGCAAGAACUGGGCACCAGCAGCAUUACUUGAUGGUGUCAAAGAGGUAGAGGACCAAAUGCCAGGAUGCAGAGGGAGCCAUGGUGCCUGGACACAGAGACUUUGCCACAGCUAUCAAGUUUGCAAAAUGAAAACAAAGGGAGAGAUUAAUGAGACUCCACCUAGAAGCAGCCACUCCUGGACAGGCUGCCCUUCCUAGAUGGCUUCAGAUGGCUGCCAGGGAACAUCUGCCUGGUUAAGAUUUCAAGUGAAGACCUAAUCGAAGCAGCCCUUUGGCAGGCUUUGCACUGGCCGGCCUGACUCUGACAUACGCUCCGAUGCCCACACAUGGUUGUGGCUGGCAGCUCAGACAGACACGACUGUUUUGGCUUCUGUCAUUUCUUUUUCUUCCUCCAGGCGCUCAAGUUCUUGAUCCCAGCUCGCCUGAUUAGGGGUCGUCAUCAGUCCGCGCACCCUGCCUGUACUUCCUGGGGCCCCCUGGUGGAUGAUCAAAGGAUAAAGGGAUAGUUGGAGGCAGGAAAGAGAGAGUUGGGGAUGAUAGUGCAGUGGACUGUGUGGAUCUUUCCCCAUAGGCUUCUAAGAAGUCUUUUGUGAAUAUCUCUCUCGUCCCCCACUGGGUGAAUGAUUUACUAUGACUAAAGGGGCCACACACACAACAGCUCUCACCCUGGAAUGGACUUUGAGAGGGAAGCAAAAGGAAGCAUUGCCUUCUUUCCUGGACUUCCCUUUGGAGCACCCCACAACUCUCAGGGGAUUUAGAAGGUAACACAUUUAGAGCUUUCCCAAAAGAAUGUGCAGCUGUGGCUUGAGCAAAAGGUGUUUACUCCCACGGAGGUGGGAUUUUUAUUGCUAGUUUCAACAUCAAGUAGGUGUGAAAGUUAUAUACAAAUCCUGACAAUCAAUACCACCUGAGAAAGGCGAGAAAGAGGGCUGCAUGGGCCAAUGCUUCACAAACUUAAGGUGCACAGCUUGGAAGCAUUGAAUUGUGGGGGGUGGGGAUCUUGUAAAGUGAAGAUUCUGAAUGAGUAGGUGUGGGGUAUGGCCCACAGUCUGUGUUUCCAACAUGCUUCUGCCACAGGAAGACUGCUCUGGACUAAGAAAUAGUCCUGUGCAUUUCUUAGCACCAACGCUCACCUCCCCCCACCAAAAACAUGAAAUAAAACAAAACAGGGACAUUGCAUUUCCUGGAAGUGUCUUACAUGACACCAAUUAAAACUAUCUUUUUUUCUUGCUCAUAAAUAUAUUCUUUUUCCUUUUUUUUGAGACGGAGUCUCUCUUUUUUGCCCAGGCUGGAGUGCAGUGGUGUGAUCUCAGCUCACUGCAACCUCCGCCUUCCAGGUUCAAGCAAUUCUCCUGCCUCAGCCUCCUGAGUAGCUGGGAUUACAGGAGUGUGCCACCACACUCGGCUAAUUUUUUGUAUUUUUAGUAGAGAUGGGGUUUCACUAUGUUGGCCAGACUGGUCUUGAACUCUUGACCUCAAGUGAUCCACCUGCCUCGGCCUCCCAAAGUGCUAAGAUUAUAGGCGUGAGCCACUGUGUCUAGCCUAGAAAUGUAUUCUUUUUUUUUUUUUUGAGAUGGAGUUUCGCUCUGUCGCCCUGGCUGGAGUGCAGUGGUGCCAUCUCGGCUCACUGCAACCUCUGCCUCCUGGGUUCAAGUGAUUCUCCUGCCUCAGCCUCCCGAGUAGCUGGGACUACAGGCGUGCACCACUACACCCAGCUAAUUUUUGUAUUUUUAGUAGAGAUGGGGUUUCUCCCAGCUAAUUUUUGUAUUUUUAGUAAAGAUGGAGUUUCACCAUGUUGGUUGGCCAGGAUGGUCUCGAUCUCUUGACCUCGUGAUCCACCCGCCUCAGCCUCCCAAAGUGCUGGGAUUACAGACAUGAGCCACCGCGCCCAGCCAAAACUUAUUCUAAAAGGUUUGACUGAUGUACAUAAAAAUCACUGGAAAACAUAGUUAUAGGUAAAUUUUAUUAUUUCUUUGUGUUUUUCUACAUUUCCCAAACUUUCUACAAAUGAACCUAUAUUGUUUUUAUUUUUCUCGAAGGCUAAGUUUGAAACAUCUUGUGUUGUUUCAAGACCUUUCUUUUCCCCCGGUGCUAGCUAGACCAGAAUGGAUUGUUUAACAUCUCAGGGCAGAUGUCUGAACCUUUGCAGGUGUUGGGAGACUCAGAAUCUUCUGGUGUUGAGGAGACCAAGCUUGGUCAGGUCGGGACCAUGUUGAAUCACUGUUUAACACUGAAGGAAGGCCAGGGAAGGCCUGUGAGGGACACGCAGUCUCUGCCUCCUGAGGUCAUGCUGAUCGCUUGCUGGCCCAAGUCUAAUUUAUUUUAGUUUCUAUGUCUGUGAACAAGGCCAAUGUGCAUGAAUGAUGGUCUGGCAUCUCGAUCCAUGUUUACAAAUCAAUGAGCAGACCACCUAAAUCAGUGAACUGUGCAUUUUAUAGAUGAGAAAAGGCAAGUUGGGGGAAAGAGACUGGAGAGGGUGGUGGUAAUUAUAGAAAUGAGACUUUCAUAACUCAAGUUUCCAUCCCAUGGCGUUUUCUUUAAAUAAGGGAUUCCCAAUCUUCAGAAGCACUAGUGCAGUAUAACUUUGGAUAAACACAGUUCUGUCUUAUCAGCACAUUGUUUUGUAUUCAAUAGGUACUCAAUGUUUAAUAUGUUAUAAAAUAUAAUUUUUGAAUACAUUUUUUUUCUGUGAUGGUCGGAGCACACAGCACAGAGCAAUUUUAGGAAAUUGCCAUGCUUUCCAAUAGUAGCUAUAAGCUUUGUGUAUCCAGUCACCCAGGACCUAUUUGUUAGAUAGGAUAAAAGAACAUUGAAGUGACAAGAUUUGACAGAAAAUCUAGGCAAUACCAUUCAGGACAUAGGCAUGGGCAAAGACUUCAUGACUAAAACACCAAAAGCAAUUGCAACAAAAGCAAAAAUUGACAAAUGGGAUCUAAUUAAACUAAAGAGCUUCUGCUCAGCAAAAGAAACUAUCAGAGUAAACAGGGAACCUACAAAAUAGGAGAAAAUAUUUGCAAUCUGACCAAGGUCUAGUACCCAGAAUCUACAAGGAACUUAAACAAAUUUACAGGAAAAAAACAAGCAAGCCCAUCAAAAAGUGGGCGAAGGAUAUGAACAGAUACUUUUCAAAGGAAGAAAUUUAUGCAGCCAACAAAUAUAUAAAGAAAAACUCAUCAUCACUGGUCAUUAGAGAAAUGCAAAUCAAAACAACAAUGAGAUAUCAUCUCGUGCCAGAUAGAAUGGCGAUCAUUAAAAAGUCUGGAAACAAUAGAUGCUGGUGAGGCUGUGGAGAAAUAGGAACACUUUUACACUGUUGGUGGGAGUGUAAAUUAGUUCACCCAUUGUGGAAGACAGCGUGGCAAUUCCUCAAGGAUCUAGGACCAGAAAUACCAUUUGACCCAGCAAUCUCAUUACUGGGUAUAUACCCAAAGGAUUAAAAAUCAUUCUACUAUAAAGACACAUGCACACGUAAUGUUUAUUGCAGCACUAUUUACAAUAGCAAAGACUUGGAACCAACCCAAAUGCCCAUCAAUGAUAGACUGGAUAAAGAAAAUGUGGCACAUACAUACCAUGGAAUACUAUGCAGCCGUAAGAAAGAAUGAGUUCAUGUCCUUUGCAGGGACAUGGAUGAAGCUGGAAACCGUCAUCCUCAGCAAACUAACACAGGAACGGAAAACCAAACACCACGUGUUCUCACUCAUAAGUGAGAGUUGAACAAUGAGAACACAUGGACACAGGGAGGGGAACAUCACACACCGGGGUCUGUUGGGGAGCGGUGGACAAGGGGAGAGAGAGCAUUAGGACAAAUACCUAAUGCAUGCUGGGCUUAAAACCUGGAUUAUGGGUUGAUAGGUGCAGCAAACCACCACGGCACAUGUAUACCUAGGUGACAAAGCUGCACGUUCAGCACAUGUAUCCCAGAACUUAAAGUAAAAUUAAAAAAAAAAAAAAAAGAACAUUGAAGUGACAAGAUUUGGGAGGACUGAAACAAAACAGACUACAAGGAACAGGAGAAAAGGGACAAUUGUAAGAGUGGUAAUAUUCUUUUAUAUUUAUGCACGUAAGAUGGCUGUACUGGUUUCAAGCAUCUGACUUUUAAUAUUUGAAGAAAUAAAAUUCUUGCUUAGGUCCUUCCACCCGCUGUUCAAGAUUGAAGAUUGACCUUCUGUUACCAUCUUAGCUGAUCUGUCUGCUGCUGCCUUUUUGCUUGUCCUACUCAGUUUUAAGUAAUUUUCAUCCUUCAUGCUCUGGGCUGCAAAAAUAAAUAUAAGCAACAUUUGCUGUCUUCA